rnacentral:rRNA from 1 species
GACAGAGGUGCCGAGCGUUAGGCGGAAUCACUGGGCUUAAAGCGUGUGUAGGCGGGCGGGCAAGUACCUUGUGGAAAUCCCACGGCUCAACCGUGGAACGGCUGGGUAUACUGCCUGUCUUGAGCCAACUAGGGGCGAGCGGAACAGACGGUGGAGCGGUGAAAUGCGUAGAUAUCGUCUGGAACGCCAAAGGUGAAAACAGCUCGCUGGGGUUGUGCUGACGCUGAGACACGAAAGCCAGGGGAGCGAACGGG